rfam:Candidate division WOR-1 bacterium RIFOXYB2_FTLL_37_13 rifoxyb2_full_scaffold_3012, whole genome shotgun sequence.
GGGGCCGUAGUUCAGCUGGGAGAACGCUUGACUGGCAGUCAAGAGGUCAGGGGUUCAAUCCCCCUCGGCUCCA